AGGAAACUUGCUCAAAUUUUGAGUGCAAGGACCUCAAAUGUGGGUUGCAAAGACUGACCUAAACCUGAAAUCCUAGAUGUACAGGAUUUAGGAGUCCAGGUUAGUUAAACAGCCAUAACUCAUCCUACAUAGCUUAAAAAUUAGUGAUUCUUGAACUGUGUGACCAGGAUACAUAGGGGAACAAUUCAUAUGAUGAAUAUUAG
rnacentral:misc_RNA from 1 species